CCACCACAGAAAUAAUAAUUGCCUCUAUGAAUUUGUUAUUAUUUUCCCAUUCUAUACAUAUGUUGCAUGCUGGCCUUGCGAUCCGAUAGGAUGGACACCACAAUUCCUUCCCCUAUGGUCAAGUUAGGCCACUCAUGUUUGGACUUGGUUAGAAGAUGGCACUUGUCACAUUCCAAAUAUAACAAAAAUGAGGCUUUAUUAUUAUUCUGUGGGGGUAAAUAUGAAUGUUUCUGUCCUUCCUUUGGAUAUGAUACUGGAACAAGGCUAAUGGCAUUUACAUAUCAAAGAGAUUGGCUCAUCCCUUACAAGGUACAUGCCAAAUGGAUGAAGAGACAUUCAGACUUUUCCAAGUGUAGAACCUCAUACCUUGCAGAGCCUUGAUUACUUCACAUCCAUAUAGUAAAAUCCUUUUCACAUUGCUAUGCAUUCAUACUACCCCUU